AGAGAUUCGUUGCUGUAUUUGGAUGGAAGGUUUAUGGUUUGGGCUGACGACUAGAGUGAAUUGACGAAGAGUUGAGGUCUAUGAUAGAAAUUGAAGACAAGCUUAUGACCACCAUCAAGAAGAAAAGAGUAAAGAAGAAGGCUUGAAGGAGAGGGUGAAAAGGCUAUUCCGAUGUUGAGUAAAGCUUAGAUGUGGAGAAAAGAAUAAGCAAAAAGGCGAAAAGGUUAUUUAAAUUUUAGAAAUUGAUUUUUUGCAGAACAAGAAUUGCGAAGUGUAGUUUAACUAUACUUAUUUAAAGAUUGUGGGAAUUACGUUUUUUGAUGCUUAUUUAAAGUUGAAACAAGCAUAAAACAAUGUAAUUCCCACGAAUCUUUAAAUAGUAUACUUUACCCACAACUUGUCAUUCCCAUCCAGCAAAAAAUCAAUUUCUAAGAUUAAAUAACCUUUUUGCCUUCUUCUCUACUCUUUUCUCCACAUCCAAGCUUUACUUGACACCCAAAUAGUCUUCUUCGCCUUCUUCUCCUUCUUCUCCUUCUUCUUUUAUCUUCUUUUCUUCUUCUAGAAGAAGAUACAGAUGACAUGCACUACAACACUCACUUUUACCGGCAUUUAUAAGCACAGGUGAAAGUUUGGUGCACAAAGGAGGCCAGUGUUAUUAAUAUUGAUAUGAAAGCAAAUAUAUGUUGCGUCUGGAUCUAGCUAUUACAUUGCGAGUCUAAUGGAAUAUGAAGAGCAUGAAAAACGAGCAUGGAGUGUUGAUUUCUCUUGGAUAGAACCAUAGUUGCAAGGAACAGUGACAUAUUCGAUAUCUUAACCAAGUGUUCUUUCUUUGCUUAAACGAUGAAGAGAUAACCAUGCAUUAUGUACACAGAAGAUUUGCAAUUUGUGUUGGUGAGUCUUAAUCUUGUAUAUCAGAUAAAUAGGUCAACGCGUAAAUGAUUUUUAGGUUCUUGACAUGAACAUGUCACAUUUAUUACGUGAGUUACACAGGAUUGCAUGGUUAACACAUUUAACUAGUAAGUCUUGUGCAUCGAUACAGAAGUUAUCUGUGUAAAUAUGUUCAACUUAUUUAAAACGCAUGAUUUACCUGGUUAAA